rnacentral:tRNA from 1 species
GGAGAGGUACCCAAGUGGCUGAAGGGAGCGGUCUUGAAAACCGCCAGGCGCCCUCGGGGCGCGCGUGGGUUCGAAUCCCACCCUCUCCGCCA